rnacentral:rRNA from 1 species
AAACCAACAGGGAUUGCCCUAGUAACGGCGAGUGAAGCGGCAAUAGCUCAAAUUUGAAAGCUGGCCUUCUGGUCCGCAUUGUAAUUUGUAGAGGAUGCUUUUAGGCAGCCGCCGGUCUAAGUUCCUUGGAACAGGACGUCAUAGAGGGUGAGAAUCCCGUAUGUGACCGGCUCUGGCACCUUCUGUAAAGCUCCUUCGACGAGUCGAGUUGUUUGGGAAUGCAGCUCUAAAUGGGAGGUAAAUUUCUUCUAAAGCUAAAUACUGGCGAGAGACCGAUAGCGCACAAGUAGAGUGAUCGAAAGAUGAAAAGCACUUUGGAAAGAGAGUUAAAAAGCACGUGAAAUUGUUGAAAGGGAAGCGCUUGCAAUCAGACUUGGCUCGGGGUGUUCAACCGGUCUUCUGACCGGCCCACUCAUUCCGAGCCAGGCCAGCAUCAGUUUCGGCGGCCGGAUAAAGACCUUGGGAAUGUGGCCCUCUCUUCGGGGAGGGUGUUAUAGCCCGGGGUGUAAUACGGCCAGCCGGGACUGAGGUCCGCGAUUCGUCUAGGAUGCUGGCGUAAUGGUUGUAAGCGGC